CCCUUAGAUGUCCUGGGCCGCACGCGCGCUACAAUGACUUAUUCAGAAAGUUUACCUGGUUCGGAAGAAUUCAGGGUAAUCUUUGUAAUACAAGUCGUGUUAGGGAUCGAUCUUUGCAAUUAUAGAUCUUGAACGAGGAAUGCCUAGUAAGCGCAGUUCAUCAGGCUGUGCUGAUUACGUCCCUGCCCUUUGUACACACCGCCCGUCGCUCCUACCGAUUUCGAGUGGUCCGGUGAACCAUCUGGAUUGGAUCGCAAGAUUAGAGAAGUUUAGUAAACCUUAUCACUGAGAGGAAGGAGAAGGCGUAACA
rnacentral:rRNA from 1 species